GUCUCGCUCUGUCGCCCAGGCUGGAGUGCAGUGGCACGGUCUCGGCUCACUGCAACCUCCGCUUUCCGGGUUCAAGCGAGUCUCCUUGAAACUGGGAAAAUGAGAAGCCUUGCCCACGAAUCUCCAGCGCAAAAAGCAGCAGCUUUUUCCUCCCCAGCUCCUUUCUGCGUCGGCGGCGAAGAGAGAGCUCUGCUCCCUGCUUUUUUAGAAAAUGGAUUUGACGUGGCCGAACAUGCAGCUAGCCGUGCGACCCGCACAAGGGAGGGACUGUUCUCAGUAGGAGGCUGGACUCAGAGCGGCGCGGCGCCCGGGGCUGUUUCGUGAGCUGGAGCCAGCGGCUGCCCGGGCGGCGGUGUGCGCACUCUCCAGGCUGAGACACGACUGGCUGGCACGAGUUGCUCGGCACCAGCUGAGCUGAACCGCGAGCGGAGGCGGGGCUCCCGACAACCAGUGUGCUGGGGCAGAAUCGGCCCAGGUUGCACGCCCCCUGAACCACCCUCGCGUCUCCCCGACCCCUCUCUCGCUGGCUCAGAUGAAUGAUGACGGCAGAGGGCAGAGAGCUUAGAGGACACCGUACCAAGCCCCGUCCCUCGCCCAUCCCAACGAAGGUCUUAGAAUACAAUCAACCAACUACAGGAAGAAUUUGUAGAGGAGGUUUUCUUGUGUGUCUGCAUCGCCCCACCCACAGCCAUGUGAGGAUACAGCAUCUGUGGCAACAAGGAGCCAUCUUGGGAGCAGAGAGCAAGCUCUUCCAGACACUGAAUCUGCCAGCACCUUGAUCUUGGUCCAGCCUUCAGAAGUGUGAGAAAUAAAUUUCUAUUAUUUACAAAUUACCCAGUCUAAGCUAUUUUGCUAUAGCAGCAGGAAUGGACUAAAGAUGAUUUUCC
rnacentral:lncRNA from 1 species